UACAGAGGUCCCAAGCGUUGUUCGGAUUCAUUGGGCGUAAAGGGUGCGUAGGUGGCGUCGUAAGUCGGGUGUGAAAUCUCGGGGCUUAACUCCGAAACUGCAUUCGAUACUGCGGUGCUUGAGGACUGGAGAGGAGACUGGAAUUCAUGGUGUAGCAGUGAAAUGCGUAGAUAUCGGGAGGAACACCGGUGGCGAAGGCGACCCCCUGGUUGGAUACUGACGCUGAGACGCGAAAGCGUGGGGAGCAAACAGG
rnacentral:rRNA from 1 species